GGGGGAUAUUGCACAAUGGAGGAAACUCUGAUGCAGCAACGCCGCGUGAGGGAAGAAGGUCUUCGGAUUGUAAACCUUUGUCCUUGGUGACGAAACAAAUGACGGUACCUGAAGAAUAAGCCACGGCUCACUACGUGCCAGCAGCCGCGGUAAUACGUAGGGAGCAAGCGUUGUCCGGAUUUACUGGGUGUAAAGGGUGCGUAGGCGGCUCUGCAAGUCAGGCGUGAAAACUAUGGGCUUAACCCAUAGACUGCGUUUGAAACUGUGGGGCUUGAGUGAAGUAGAGGUAGGCGGAAUUCCCGGUGUAGCGGUGAAAUGCGUAGAGAUCGGGAGGAACACCAGUGGCGAAGGCGGCCUACUGGGCUUUAACUGACGCUGAAGCACGAAAGCAUGGGUAGCAAAC
rnacentral:rRNA from 1 species